rnacentral:rRNA from 1 species
UGCGCAGGCGGACUUUUAAGUCAGUGGUGAAAUCCCGAGGCUCAACCUCGGAACUGCCAUUGAUACUGGAAGUCUUGAAUUUGGUUGAAGUGGGCGGAAUGUAGCAUGUAGCGGUGAAAUGCUUAGAUAUGCUACAGAACACCGAUCACGAAGGCAGCUCACUAAGCCAAUAUUGACGCUCAGGCACGAAAGCGUGGGGAGCAAACAGGAUUAGAUACCCUGGUAGUCC